rnacentral:misc_RNA from 1 species
UAGGCUCGUGUUGAAGUUAUGACGUUGCUAUUGACAACUGCAACGGCAAUGAUUGUUGCUAUUGACGACCAUAACGACUCGAGUUGUUGUUUAGCCCAGGUCAGCCCCGAUACAACUGUGAUCAAAGCUGUUCCAACCUCUUGAGAGUCGGGACAAUCCGUUUGUUCCAGGAGGUGAACUGAGCAUCGACACAGAUGACAUUUUGAAGCGGGCGACCAUCGUAAGGGACCGCUUCAUCCUCAACGAGGAGGAGAAGAA